rnacentral:tRNA from 1 species
CGCGGGGUGGAGCAGCUUGGUAGCUCGUCGGGCUCACAACCCGAAGGUCGUCGGUUCAAAUCCGGCCCCCGCAACCA